UACGGAGGGUGCGAGCGUUGUCCGGAAUCACUGGGCGUAAAGGGCGCGUAGGCGGCGACGUAAGCGUGCGGUGAAAGCUCGGGGCUUAACUCCGAGUCGGCCGUGCGAACUGCGUUGCUCGAGCACUGUAGAGGCAGAUGGAAUUCCGGGUGUAGCGGUGGAAUGCGUAGAGAUCCGGAAGAACACCGGUGGCGAAGGCGGUCUGCUGGGCAGUGGCUGACGCUGAGGCGCGACAGCGUGGGGAGCAAACAGG
rnacentral:rRNA from 1 species